GAUGAACGCUAGCUACAGGCUUAACACAUGCAAGUCGAGGGGAAACGGGAGGAUAGCUUGCUAUCUUCGCCGUCGACCGGCGCACGGGUGAGUAACGCGCAUCCAACCUGCCAUCCAGCGGAGGAUAGCCUUUCGAAAGAAAGGAUAGUACUCCAUGACCUCCUCAGAGGACAUCUGACGAGGAGCAAAGAUUUAUCGCUGGUUGAGGGGGAUGCGUCUGAUUAGGCAGUUGGCGGGGUAACGGCCCACCAAACCGACGAUCAGUAGGGGUUCUGAGAGGAAGGUCCACCACAUUGGAACUGAGACACGGUCCAAACUCCUACGGGAGGCAGCAGUGAGGAAUAUUGGUCAAUGGACGUAAGUCUGAACCAGCCAAGUAGUGUGCAGGAUGACGGCCCUAUGGGUUGUAAACUGCUUUUAUGCGGGGGUAAAGUGAGUGACGUGUCAUUCAUUGCAAGUACCGCAAGAAUAAGGACCGGCUAAUUCCGUGCCAGCCGCCGCCGUAA
rnacentral:rRNA from 1 species